rnacentral:rRNA from 1 species
UACGUAGGGUGCAAGCGUUGUCCGGAAUUAUUGGGCGUAAAGAGCUCGUAGGCGGUCUGUUACGUCUGCUGUGAAAACCCAGGGCUUAACCCUGGGCUUGCAGUGGAUACGGGCAGACUAGAGGCAGGUAGGGGAGAAUGGAAUUCCCGGUGUAGCGGUGAAAUGCGCAGAUAUCAGGAGGAACACCGGUGGCGAAGGCGGGUCUCUGGGCCGUAACUGACGCUGAGGAGCGAAAGCAUGGGGAGCGAACAGG